AAAUGAAAAACUCAAUCUAAAGACUCUACAGACGUUUCCCUCCUAAAAUAUUACUCAUUGACAGUUAUUCCCUAAAAAUAAUUGUGGCUCUUCACCUUCUUUCAAAUCCUCCGAUUUAAUCUCAAGAAAUAUUUUUAUUUUUAUAUUUAUGACAUUGUUUUUCUAAGGUUACUUAGAAUCAAAUUUAAGGUAUCAAAGUUAAGGAAUCCUCCACCAUUGACGUUCAAUUCUCUAAGUAUACUCAGAAUCAAAGUUCAAAUUGCUUGCAAAUCUACAUGAAAUCAAAGAUUCUUGGUGUAAGAUCUAAAAGAGCUGGACUGCCUAAUGGAAAAGGAGGGAAGUCAAGUAAAAAACUAGACAAUAGAGCAACAAAUAUUUCAAUUGUCUCCCAUAAUUCCGUCAGGAUCCCUUCAAUCUCAUAUUGGUUUACUUCAUGUCAAAACUCUUCCUCACAUAAACCAAAUCUUAAAGUCAAUCAAUCCUAGAAUUAUAACAAUGUUAUGCCUCCCAUAAUACCAUCACAACCCCUUUAUUCACAUACUAGUCUACUUCAUGAAAAUGAGUCUCAACCUGGUCUUGGGAUCCACCAACCCCAGCCUGCUAUAAUUAAAUCUUAACCUUAGUCUAAUUGACCCCAACCUACAAGUUAAGAUUCUGAACCAUUAAUGUCACCACCGGCCAAUAGGACUCCAACCACCUCACCUAAUAUAGUUGACAAUGUAGAUGAUGAUAAUCAAAUAUAGGUUGUACCUGAAGGGAAUGGAUAAUACAACUAAAGCUUAACAAUACAUAUAUUUAGGUGGACUAUUUAUAUAUGCAUAUGUUUGAUAACUACUAUAUGUUAUGUUGGUUUGAUCCACACAAGGUAGUUAUUAAUGGUAGACCUUCAUGGAAGAAGUUUCUAGAGUCUUCUCGCGAGAUGUGGUUUGAGGAAUUCAAGAAUGAGUUUGAAAGAAAAAAAAAACAAGAAAUAUUAGUUAGUCAAAGUGCAUCAGUUGUGGAUAGAGAAACUAAUUCAGCUGGUCAGCCUUCUCAGUUAAGUGAAAUGGAUAUCUGGGUGCAAUAUAUUGGUGCAAAGAAAAAGAAAUAUUCAAAGGUCUUGGCUCCCUGGGUCAAAGUGUAAAGGCAUCUAAGAAUUCAAUAUCAACUUUCCCAAAAGAAAUAGAUGAGAUGAUUAAGUCUCAAGUUGAUUCUUUAAAUGUUGACUUGUAUGCUCAGUUGCAGAAUGAGCGACAUAAAAAUAAGAGGAUGAGAAAGGAAUUAGACUUGUUGAUGAAUCAUGUAUAUAAUAAAUCAUCUUCGAAUGAUGAACGUCAAUCUCAAGAAGACAACCAAGCUUAUGAAGAUGAAAGUGAUGAUGACUCUGACAACGUGAAUGAAAGUGAUUCUAAUCGUGAUAACAUGAAUGAAAGUUAUUCUGAUGGUUGGUAGUUUUAUUAAGGAUUUAAGUUUGAAAUAUUAUGUUAUGGACCAUUUAAGAAUCAUACAUUAUUGAGUGGAUGUUAUGAAUUAUGUUUUUUGGUUAGUUGUAAUUGUUUACAUUAGACUUAUGUUGAAUGAUGUUUUUGA